GCCGCUUUAGCUCAGUCGGUAGAGCAAGGGACUGAAAAUCCCUGUGUCCCCAGUUCGAUUCUGGGAGGCGGCACCA
rnacentral:tRNA from 1 species